UAAACUAGGAUUAGAUACCCUAUUAUUUUAAAUGUUAAUUUUUGAUACUAAAUUAUUAGUAGUUAUGUUCUUGAAAAUUAAAAAAUUUGGCGGUAUUUUAGUCUUUUCAGAGGAACCUGUCCUGUAAUUGAUAGUCCACGAUUAGAAAAACUUUAUUUAUUAAUUUAUAUAUCGUUGUAGUUUGAAUAUUUUAAGAGAAGUUAAAUAUUCAUAAUUUUAAAUUAAAAAAUAAAUCAGAUCAAGGUAUAGUUUAUAAUAAAGUAGAGAUGGGUUACAUUAAAAAUAUUUAAGGAUAAUUUUUUUUAAAAGGAUUUGAAUGUGGAUUUGAAAGUAAUUAUAAAUAUAUAUUUAUAAUGAUUUUAGCUCUAAAAUAUGUACACAUCGCCCGUCGCUCUUAA
rnacentral:rRNA from 1 species